rnacentral:rRNA from 1 species
GAUGAACGCUAGCUACAGGCUUAACACAUGCAAGUCGAGGGGCAGCAUGGUCUUAGCUUGCUAAGGCCGAUGGCGACCGGCGCACGGGUGAGUAACACGUAUCCAACCUGCCGUCUACUCUUGGACAGCCUUCUGAAAGGAAGAUUAAUACAAGAUGGCAUCAUGAGUCCGCAUGUUCACAUGAUUAAAGGUAUUCCGGUAGACGAUGGGGAUGCGUUCCAUUAGAUAGUAGGCGGGGUAACGGCCCACCUAGUCUUCGAUGGAUAGGGGUUCUGAGAGGAAGGUCCCCCACAUUGGAACUGAGACACGGUCCAAACUCCUACGGGAGGCAGCAGUGAGGAAUAUUGGUCAAUGGGCGCAGGCCUGAACCAGCCAAGUAGCGUGAAGGAUGACUGCCCUAUGGGUUGUAAACUUCUUUUAUAAAGGAAUAAAGUCGGGUAUGGAUACCCGUUUGCAUGUACUUUAUGAAUAAGGAUCGGCUAACUCCGUGCCAGCAGCCGCGGUAAUACGGAGGAUCCGAGCGUUAUCCGGAUUUAUUGGGUUUAAAGGGAGCGUAGAUGGAUGUUUAAGUCAGUUGUGAAAGUUUGCGGCUCAACCGUAAAAUUGCAGUUGAUACUGGAUAUCUUGAGUGCAGUUGAGGCAGGCGGAAUUCGUGGUGUAGCGGUGAAAUGCUUAGAUAUCACGAAGAACUCCGAUUGCGAAGGCAGCCUGCUAAGCUGCAACUGACAUUGAGGCUCGAAAGUGUGGGUAUCAAACAGGAUUAGAUACCCUGGUAGUCCACACGGUAAACGAUGAAUACUCGCUGUUUGCGAUAUACGGCAAGCGGCCAAGCGAAAGCGUUAAGUAUUCCACCUGGGGAGUACGCCGGCAACGGUGAAACUCAAAGGAAUUGACGGGGGCCCGCACAAGCGGAGGAACAUGUGGUUUAAUUCGAUGAUACGCGAGGAACCUUACCCGGGCUUAAAUUGCAGAUGAAUUACGGUGAAAGCCGUAAGCCGCAAGGCAUCUGUGAAGGUGCUGCAUGGUUGUCGUCAGCUCGUGCCGUGAGGUGUCGGCUUAAGCGCCAUAACGAGCGCAACCCUUGUUGUCAGUUACUAACAGGUUCCGCUGAGGACUCUGACAAGACUGCCAUCGUAAGAUGUGAGGAAGGUGGGGAUGACGUCAAAUCAGCACGGCCCUUACGUCCGGGGCUACACACGUGUUACAAUGGGGGGUACAGAGGGCCGCUACCACGCGAGUGGAUGCCAAUCCCAAAAACCUCUCUCAGUUCGGACUGGAGUCUGCAACCCGACUCCACGAAGCUGGAUUCGCUAGUAAUCGCGCAUCAGCCACGGCGCGGUGAAUACGUUCCCGGGCCUUGUACACACCGCCCGUCAAGCCAUGGGAGCCGGGGGUACCUGAAGUGCGUAACCGCGAGGAGCGCCCUAGGGUAAAACUGGUGACUGGGGCU